GAUGAACGCUGGCGGCGUGCCUAAUACAUGCAAGUCGAACGAACAGAUGAGGAGCUUGCUCCUCUCACGUUAGCGGCGCACGGGUGAGUAACACGUGGAUCCUCUCCCUAUCAUACUGGGAUCACCUCGGGAAUCCGGCGCUAAUACCGUAUAAUAUAUUGAACCACGUGGUUCAAUGGUGAAAUACGGUUUUUCUGUCUCUUAUAGCUGGAUCCGCGCGGUAUUGGAUAGUUGUUAAGGUAACGGCUUAUCACGGCAACGAGGCGUAGCCGAACGGAGAGACUGGUCGGCGACACUGGAAGGGAGACACGGACAAGGCUACUAAGAGAGGGAGCAGUAGGGAAUCGUACGCAAUGGGCGAAAGCCUGACGGAGCGACGGCGAGUGUGUGAUGAAGGCGCUGGGAGCGGAAAACUCGGUUAUGGGGGGAGAACAAAUGUGGCAGGAAACAUGCAGGGAUUGACGGUACCUAAUCAGAAAGCAACGGCUAACUACGUG
rnacentral:rRNA from 1 species